rnacentral:rRNA from 1 species
UACAGAGGGGGCAAGCGUUGUUCGGAAUUACUGGGCGUAAAGGGCGCGUAGGCGGCCCGCUAAGUCGAACGUGAAGUCCCCGGGCUCAACCCGGGAACUGCGUCCGAUACUGGCGGGCUUGAAUCCGGGAGAGGGAUGCGGAAUUCCAGGUGUAGCGGUGAAAUGCGUAGAUAUCUGGAGGAACACCGGUGGCGAAGGCGGCAUCCUGGACCGGCAUUGACGCUGAGGCGCGAAAGCCAGGGGAGCAAACGGG